CUCAGAGGUUGGCAGGGUGAAGGCACAGCACACCAGUUUAUAAUACCAACGAUCUGCACCUGUCUGCAUCACAGCCAGCACCUUUGAUUGUCAAUCCUGAACAAGCUGCUGCAGCUGGAUCUACCUGGGAGACUGCUGUCUGAUAUUCUGGGAUCAAUGGCACUGCAAAGGACAAAACUCUCUCCAACAUAGUAUGAUUCUUCACCAAGCAUGGAAGCAAAUUCCACAGGAGCCCAAGCACAACAUUCAGAGAUGGACACUUGGAAAUACAGGAAUGGACAGCACCUUUACCUCUGACCAGCUCACUUCUCAUGGGAACAGCCCACUACAAGGUAAAAGGGAGCCAUUCUCAGCAGAUGGAGCAGCCAAGGAAGCAGCAAGUGCCAUAAGGUGAGCAGCACACAGACAGUGAGACUGCCAUUGAGAUGAAAAGCAAAAUCGGGUCCUCUGACCUGAGCUGGAAUUUGUGAAAAUAUAGGGGCCUCAAGGGGUGAAAAGGCCAGACCUCAGUGGUGCCAUCAGACAGGAAGAUACAUCCACAAUCUCCAUUGUAUCUGCAAGGGCUUUACUGUCACAGAGGAGAAUAUCCUGCACCAAACUCUCCUCUUCCCAAUCUGGGAAAAAGCAAGAAAUUGUCAUUAUCUCUCAUCAGUCAUUUUGGCAGCUGAUAAGGAGAGGGAGUACAGUGCCAGCCUCUUACCUGCCCUCUUAGCUAUGACAGACCUCAGCACAGCAAGUCUUGAUCUGUGCCUUCUGGUAGACACCAGCACAGGUCAAGUCUUAGUGGCUUUGGGAUAUGAAGAAGGCAGCAAGUUCACCACCUUUGAGAGGCAGCCAAAGAAGCCCCACUGAGGUCACAAACGGGGUUUCUUCCACUGUCAAAUCAAGACAACUCAGAUGAAAUGCACAUAAAUCAAUGAGUUAUGACUGUCAUUCCUGUGCAUCAGAAAAAAAAUACUAUUUCCUUAAUUUCUUAUCCUUGUCUGGGAGUUUAAACAUGCACAACUGCAGUGCUUUCAUUUUUGCUUGGAAAUUAGAAUAUUCAAUGCAAAUUAGGAACCAGAUGAAAACUCCCCAGUAAAACAAUAGGCUGCAGGAAAGUGCUGAUCUGAUGAAAUAUUAAGUUUUAUAGUAAUAACUUGAUUGCAAAGUUUCACGGGAAAAAAUUUGCCUAAGUGAGGUCAGAUGUCUCAUUUCCCAACCGUCCAAAAGUUAGAAUGAUAUUUGAAAUAAUACUAUUGAUGAUAGGGGUAAAAUAUUAUCUUUCUGCCAUGGUCAACCUUUAUCUAAAUUAAAUGUUUGGACAAACUUGGAAUGAAAUCUUUUGAGAAUAUGCUUUCCAGAGCAUGAGAAAAAAUAUCUAUUAUGAUAAUAACAAAACUUAUAUGACAAUAGUAGCAAAAGAGUGGUGGUAAUAUUACUUCCAUAUUUACUGUUUGCUUUAUAACUUCAGAGGAUCUGGUCUUACUCUCACAGCUACUUUCUAUCUUCUUCCAGAGAAUUUCCAUGUAAUUGCCUCAACCUCUGCAUUUGCAGAACUCCCUGUUGGGUGACUGCACCAGGCAAAAAAGACCCCAUAUUUAGGAGCAUAGCCAGAGAAGCCCAUUGAGGUAAUAAUAUUGAACAAUAAUAAAUUAACAAAGGUAGAAAAGUGAAAAUUUCUGUAGCUAUGCAUUCAACUCACUCCAUUUAGAGAUCAAAUAUCUCAAAAACUCCAUCUUCAAAGUGGCCAAAAGCAGGUUGAAACUCAGCUGCUUUUGCGUGUACCUAGUCCAUGUAGCUAGCCCAACCAUGCUGGGUGUCACAUGGGGGUCCAAUCCAGCCUGACUUUCUAAAAGACAGGAAUAUCUUGUUCCAGAAGGCUAACAGAGCAAUGUCCUUAGUCAGAAACAUGAACACCCCCCUUACUGUGUUUCUAGUUAAAUGUAUAGCUCGGGUACUUAUAGAAUAAUAAAUCACCUAUAGAAGUCAAUGGAGGGAAAAAAAAAACCCCAAAAAAUCCAACACGAACAGCUUGAAUAGCAAUUUACAAAGUUGCUCAGCACAGCAAUAUUUAAAGCUGUUCUUCACUAUAUGUCAUUUUCAGAUAAGUUAAUAAAGAAAUAUAGGAGAGAAUCAAUUUUUAGUAAUCAUUACCAUGUACAGUAGUGAAACCUCCAGGCUAUUCAAUUAAUUCUAGACCAUAAUUAUGACCCAGGAACAUAUUGUAUAAAUCAGCAUUUUUUUUAUUUAACCAUACAAAUCAGACUCUGAUCUUGAGUGCAGAUCAAGAGUUGUAUAUUUCACAGCUCUUGCUGUCUCAGAAAAUAGACUCUCCAAGGAUUCAAGCCCCUUGAGGCAUAAAUUGUGCACACUUCAAAUUCCACAGGGAUCAUGGUAAUUAUAGUAAUUUUUGACUCAACAUGUCACCGUGCCCCAAUGACACUCGGGUUCUUUAAUAGAAUGCAGAAAAGGAAAAGUGGCUGGAUGAUCUAAUAAAUUCUAGGUCUCAGGUGUAAGAGCAGAUUUUAAAAAUAAUCAAACCAAACUCCAUUCACCACAAAAUUAAAACAAACAAACAAAAAAAAAGAAAAAAAGUGAGCAAAAAGCAACAACUAAACAACAAAAAAUACCCACAAAAUCUGAGACCCAGUCGAGGAUCAAACUCACCUGCAGAAGGCUACAGCAAAGAAAAAGCUGAGUUACCCCUUACAACACUUCCCUUACUAUCCUCUGUGGAUUUAAAAGCACAUUCUGGUUGCAGAAUUGCAUUUACAGAUUGAGUCUUACAAUGUACUUUAGCAGGCAGCCCAAGGCUCGGAGGUGAAGCCACUUACCUAAAAACAUACAGUCAGUGAAUUUCAAAAACCAUAAAGUGAGCUCCUCAGUUCAAGAGAUCUCCAUACUCUGUAGGAAUGCACAUACACCAAAGGAUGCCAGCAGUCCUCCCCACAGCAUUCACAAAAUCCUUUUCUAAAAUCAGUGGUAACAUGUUUGCUGUCCCUUUGGUUCUGAAGGAGCAUUUAACACCAGUGAUUUGGUCAGCUCCCUGCUCCUGUCCAGGCCCAGGUCUCUGCCAUUUGUGCUGCACAUCUGUUAUGUCACUCCCCUGCUUGAAUCCAGAUGGUUCAGACAUGGUCCUUGGGUGCUCAUUCCAAGGAUCAAGAUGAGGAUGUCACAUCCCAAAGACCCCUGUCCCUGAAUCCCACAGGCCUCAGGGCUGCCACACGUAAACCUGAGAUAAGCAUGGGAGCUCAACAGGUGAAUCACUGAUGUA